AUCAAAAUCAAGAGAGAAAAAUGCUAGAAAGCCUUUGGAAUCAUCUAGACAAGGGCUAACAAAUGCCUGAACUAAGGAAAGGGCAUUGGUUAAGAGAAUCUAGAUCUAAAAGAUAUUUACAAGGCACAAACAAUGUGGAAGUGUUUUCAAGGGUAAGGGAUAGAAGAAUAGGUCAUGAGUUAGUCUGUGUGAAUAUCAUUUUGGUAAUCACGGUAAAGAAUUUAGGAGAUAGAUUUUGCAAGUGAAAAGAAAAUGAGAUUAGUUUUUGAGACAUUGAAGAAAAUAUAGGAUAUGUCUACAGGGUUAUAGGCUCCAAGGAAGGUUCUGUGUUUUCACAUAAAGAUGGUACUUGAAAAAAAU
rnacentral:lncRNA from 1 species